rnacentral:rRNA from 1 species
AACGAACGCUGGCGGCAUGCCUAACACAUGCAAGUCGAACGAAGCCUUCGGGCUUAGUGGCGCACGGGUGCGUAACGCGUGGGAAUCUGCCCUUAGGUACGGAAUAACUCAGGGAAACUUGAGCUAAUACCGUAUAAUGACUCCGGUCCAAAGAUUUAUCGCCUGAGGAUGAGCCCGCGUCGGAUUAGCUAGUUGGUGAGGUAAAAGCUCACCAAGGCGACGAUCCGUAGCUGGUCUGAGAGGAUGAUCAGCCACACUGGGACUGAGACACGGCCCAGACUCCUACGGGAGGCAGCAGUGGGGAAUAUUGGACAAUGGGCGAAAGCCUGAUCCAGCAAUGCCGCGUGAGUGAUGAAGGCCUUAGGGUUGUAAAGCUCUUUUACCCGGGAUGAUAAAGACAGACCG